GGGCAGUCAUAUUACUGAGCCAGCCAGCUCUAUUUUUCAGAAUAAAGUCAAUAUCGCUAAAUAUUAGCGUUUCUAUGGAUGUUUACCUGCAUUAUUACAUAAUAUAGAUACUAGCUAGGAACCUAGGGAUUUUGCACCUGAGUCUGACAUCGUAGAAGGACCAUUCUUGCAUCAGAUUGGACUUUGCACCUAAAUCUGACAUCGUAGAAGGACCAUUCUUGCAUCAGAUUGGAUUUUGCACCUGAGUCUGACAUCGUAGAAGGACCAUUCUUGCAUCAGAUUGGACUUUGCACCUAAAUCUGACAUCGUAGAAGGACCAUUCUUGCAUCAGAUUGGAUUUUGCACCUGAGUCUGACAUCGUAGAAGGACCAUUCUUGCACCAGAUUGGAUUUUGCACCUGAGUCUGCCAUCGUAGAAGGACCAUUCUUGCAUCAGAUUGGAUUUUGCACCUGAGUCUGACAUCGUAGAAGGACCAUUCUUGCAUCAGAUUGGACUUUGCACCUAAAUCUGACAUCGUAGAAGGACCAUUCUUGCAUCAGAUUGGAUUUUGCACCUGAGUCUGCCAUCGUAGAAGGACCAUUCUUGCAUCAGAUUGACUGAUUUUUGAUGGUUUUAGGGAUUUUGCACCUGAGUCUGACAUCGUAGAAGGACCAUUCUUGCAUCAGAUUGGACUUUGCACCUAAAUCUGACAUCGUAGAAGGACCAUUCUUGCAUCAGAUUGGAUUUUGCACCUGAGUCUGACAUCGUAGAAGGACCAUUCUUGCAUCAGAUUGGACUUUGCACCUAAAUCUGACAUCGUAGAAGGACCAUUCUUGCAUCAGAUUGACUGAUUUUUGAUGGUUUUAGGGAUUUUGCACCUGAGUCUGACAUCGUAGAAGGACCAUUCUUGCAUCAGAUUGGAUUUUGCACCUGAGUCUGCCAUCGUAGAAGGACCAUUCUUGCAUCAGAUUGGAUUUUGCACCUGAGUCUGACAUCGUAGAAGGACCAUUCUUGCAUCAGAUUGUAAGUAUUAAAUUUCUUUAUCAUUUUCCUAAAUAACUUUUGUGAUAGUCUCACAAUUUGACCCCCAAAAUUGCAUUUUUAUGUUUGAAGGACUAAUUUUUGAUGGUUUUAGGGAUUUUGCACCUGAGUCUGACAUCGUAGAAGGACCAUUCUUGCAUCAGAUUGUAAGUAUUAAAUUUCUUUAUCAUUUUCCUAAAUAACUUUUGUGAUAGUCUCACAAUUUGACCCCCAAAAUUGCAUUUUUAUGUUCGAAGGACUGAUUUUUGAUGGUUUUAGGGAUUUUGCACCUGAGUCUGACAUCGUAGAAGGACCAUUCUUGCAUCAGAUUGUAAGUAUUAAAUUUCUUUAUCAUUUUCCUAAAUAACUUUUGUGAUAAUCUCACAAAUUGACCCCCAAAAUUGCAUUUUUAUGUUUGAAGGACUAAUUUUUGAUGGUUUUAGGGAUUUUGCACCUGAGUCUGACAUCGUAGAAGGACCAUUCUUGCAUCAGAUUGUACGUAUUAAAUUUCUUUAUCAUUUUCCUAAAUAACUUUUGUGAUAAUCUCACAAAUUGACCCUCAAAAUUGCAUU